rnacentral:tRNA from 1 species
GAUAGAGUGGCUGAAAUUUAGGUGAUAAAUUGUAAAUUUAUUUAUGAUUAUAAAAUAAUCCUCUAUCA